CCUGACGCAGCGACGCCGCGUGAGUGAUGAAGGCCUUCGGGUCGUAAAGCUCUGUUGUAAGAGAAUAAAAAAAUGAAGGUAUCUUAUAAGAAAGGACCGGCUAACUUCGUGCCAGCAGCCGCGGUAAUACGAGGGGUCCUAGCGUUGUUCGGAAUCAUUGGGCGUAAAGAGUAUGUAGGCGGCUCGAUAAGUCAGGUGUGAAAUCCCUGGGCUCAACCCAGGAAGUGCACUUGAUACUGUCGAGCUUGAGUAUGGAAGAGGGUAAUGGAAUUCCUGGUGUAGUGGUGAAAUACGUAGAUAUCAGGAGGAAUACCGGUGGCGAAGGCGGUUACCUGGUCCUAUACUGACGCUGAGAUACGAAAGCAUGGGUAGCAAACAGGAUUAGAUACCCUGGUAGUCCAUGCCGUAAACGAUGGACACUUGGUGUUGGAGGUAUUGACCCCUUCAGUGCCGAAGCUAACGCGUUAAGUGUCCCGCCUGGGGAGUACGGUCGCAAGAUUAAAACUCAAAGGAAUUGACGG
rnacentral:rRNA from 1 species